AUACGGAAGGUCCGGGCGUUAUCCGGAUUUAUUGGGUUUAAAGGGAGCGCAGGCGGAGAUGCAAGCGUGACGUCAAAUUUCGGGGCUCAACCCCGUCUCGCGUCGCGAACUGCGUCCCUUGGUUGCGGGAAGGGGAGGCGGAACUCGUGGUGUAGCGGUGAAAUGCAUAGAUAUCACGAAGAACUCCGAUCGCGAAGGCAGCCUUCCGGCCCGUCAACGACGCUCAUGCUCGAAGGUGCGGGUAUCAAACAGGAUUAGAUACCCUGGUAGUCCGCACAGUAAACGAUGGACACCCGCGGUUUGGCUUGUAUGGCUGAGCCGCCAAGCGAAAGCGUUAAGUGUCCCACCUGGGGAGUACGCCGGCAACGGUGAAACUCAAAUGAAUUGACGGGG
rnacentral:rRNA from 1 species